rnacentral:piRNA from 1 species
GCUAAAUGUAAAGGAUCCACGAUGCCACA